AUUGAACGCUGGCGGCAGGCCUAACACAUGCAAGUCGAACGAGUGGCGGACGGGUGAGUAAUGUCUGGGAAACUGCCCGAUGGAGGGGGAUAACUACUGGAAACGGUAGCUAAUACCGCAUACCAUCGGAUGUGCCCAGAUGGGAUUAGAUUGUAGGUGAGGUAACGGCGAACCUAGGCGACGAUCCCUAGCUGGUCUGAGAGGAUAACCAGCCAAAGUGGAACUGAGACACGGGCGAGACUCGUACGGGAGGCAGCAGUGGGGAAUAGUGCACAAUGGGCGCAAGCCUGAUGCAGCAAUGCCGCGUGUAUGAAGAAGGCCUUCGGGUUGUAAAGUACGUUCAGCGGGGAGGCGGUACCCGCAGAAGAAGCACCUGCUAACUCCGUGCCAGCAGCCGCGGUAAUUC
rnacentral:rRNA from 1 species